UACGUAGGGGGGCAAGCGUUGUCCGGAUUUAUUGGGCGUAAAGAGCGUGUAGGCGGCCAGGUAGGUCAGCUGUGAAAACUCGAGGCUCAACCUCGAGACGCCGGUUGAAACCAUCUGGGCUAGAGUCCGGAAGAGGAGAGUGGAAUUCCUGGUGUAGCGGUGAAAUGCGCAGACUAUCAGGAAGAACACCCGUGGCUAAGGCGGCUCUCUAGUACGGUACUGACGCUGAGACGCGAAAGCGUGGGGAGCGAACAGG
rnacentral:rRNA from 1 species